rnacentral:rRNA from 1 species
AUACGUAGGGGGCGAGCGUUGUCCGGAAUUACUGGGCGUAAAGAGCUCGUAGGUGGUUUGUCGCGUCGUCUGUGAAAUUCCGGGGCUUAACUCCGGGCGUGCAGGCGAUACGGGCAUAACUUGAGUACUGUAGGGGAGACUGGAAUUCCUGGUGUAGCGGUGAAAUGCGCUGAUAUCAGGAGGAACACCGGUGGCGAAGGCGGGUCUCUGGGCAGUAACUGACGCUGAGGAGCGAAAGCAUGGGUAGCGAACAGGAUUAGAUACCCUGGUAGUCCAUGCCGUAAACGGUGGGCGCUAGGUGUAGGGGUCUUCCACGACUUCUGUGCCGUAGCUAACGCAUUAAGCGCCCCGCCUGGGGAGUACGGCCGCAAGGCUAAAACUCAAAGGAAUUGACGGGG